GGGUUGUGAGGUUAAGCGACUAAGCGUACACGGUGGAUGCCCUGGCAGUCAGAGGCGAUGAAGGACGUGCUAAUCUGCGAUAAGCGUCGGUGAGGUGAUAUGAACCGUUAUAACCGGCGAUUUCCGAAUGGGGAAACCCAGUGUGUUUCGACACACUAUCAUUAACUGAAUCCAUAGGUUAAUGAGGCGAACCGGGGGAACUGAAACAUCUAAGUACCCCGAGGAAAAGAAAUCAACCGAGAUUCCCCCAGUAGCGGCGAGCGAACGGGGAGGAGCCCAGAGCCUGAAUCAGUGUGUGUGUUAGUGGAAGCGUCUGGAAAGGCGCGCGAUACAGGGUGACAGCCCCGUACACAAAAAUGCACAUACUGUGAGCUCGAUGAGUAGGGCGGGACACGUGGUAUCCUGUCUGAAUAUGGGGGGACCAUCCUCCAAGGCUAAAUACUCCUGACUGACCGAUAGUGAACCAGUACCGUGAGGGAAAGGCGAAAAGAACCCCGGCGAGGGGAGUGAAAAAGAACCUGAAACCGUGUACGUACAAGCAGUGGGAGCCUCUUAAUGGGGUGACUGCGUACCUUUUGUAUAAUGGGUCAGCGACUUAUAUUCUGUAGCAAGGUUAACCGAAUAGGGGAGCCGAAGGGAAACCGAGUCUUAACUGGGCGUUAAGUUGCAGGGUAUAGACCCGAAACCCGGUGAUCUAGCCAUGGGCAGGUUGAAGGUUGGGUAACACUAACUGGAGGACCGAACCGACUAAUGUUGAAAAAUUAGCGGAUGACUUGUGGCUGGGGGUGAAAGGCCAAUCAAACCGGGAGAUAGCUGGUUCUCCCCGAAAGCUAUUUAGGUAGCGCCUCGUGAAUUCAUCUCCGGGGGUAGAGCACUGUUUCGGCAAGGGGGUCAUCCCGACUUACCAACCCGAUGCAAACUGCGAAUACCGGAGAAUGUUAUCACGGGAGACACACGGCGGGUGCUAACGUCCGUCGUGAAGAGGGAAACAACCCAGACCGCCAGCUAAGGUCCCAAAGUCAUGGUUAAGUGGGAAACGAUGUGGGAAGGCCCAGACAGCCAGGAUGUUGGCUUAGAAGCAGCCAUCAUUUAAAGAAAGCGUAAUAGCUCACUGGUCGAGUCGGCCUGCGCGGAAGAUGUAACGGGGCUAAACCAUGCACCGAAGCUGCGGCAGCGACACUA
rnacentral:rRNA from 1 species